UGGCAGAAAAACCUGUUUUGAAAUUUGAUAUGAUUUUCUCUCAUUUCUUUCACUUUCAGGUUGUGUAAAGGUGGAGAACUACUGGAUAAAAUUUUGUCCAUGGGUGGAAGAUACACAGAAGAAGAUGCUAAAGUUAUUGUUGUGCAAAUUUUAAGUGUUAUUGCCUAUUGUCAUCUUCAAGAUGUUGUGCAUUGUGAUCUAAAGCCAGAGAAUUUUCUUUUUGCCACAAGAGAAGAGGAUGCUUCAGUGGGGGUUAUUGAUUUUGGUCUCUCCGAUUUUAUAAGGCCUGGGAGAACAUUCCUGCAGUGUUACAUGGGCUCUAAGU